rnacentral:rRNA from 1 species
UCCCAGACUCCUACGGGAGGCAGCAGUGGGGAAUAUUGGGCAAUGGGCGCAAGCCUGACCCAGCAACGCCGCGUGAAGGAAGAAGGCCCUCGGGUUGUAAACUUCUUUUAUCAAGGACGAAACAAAUGACGGUACUUGAUGAAUAAGCCACGGCUAACUACGUGCCAGCAGCCGCGGUAAUACGUAGGGAGCAAGCGUUGUCCGGAAUUACUGGGUGUAAAGGGAGCGUAGGCGGGAAUGCAAGUUGGAAGUGAAAGGUAUGGGCUCAACCCAUGAACUGCUUUCAAAACUGUAUUUCUUGAGUGAAGUAGAGGCAGGCGGAAUUCCUAGUGUAGCGGUGAAAUGCGUAGAUAUUAGGAGGAACACCAGUGGCGAAGGCGGCCUGCUGGGCUUUAACUGACGCUGAGGCUCGAAAGCGUGGGUAGCAAACAGGAUUAGAUACCCGGGUACG